GCCGCACAAGCCGACGGGUUGAGGCAUCUGCCUUCCGAGCAGAAGGACGGGGUUCGAGUCCCCGGUGCGGCU
rnacentral:tRNA from 1 species